rnacentral:rRNA from 1 species
UGCCUAAUACAUGCAAGUCGAGCGGACCGACGGGAGCUUGCUCCCUUAGGUCAGCGGCGGACGGGUGAGUAACACGUGGGUAACCUGCCUGUAAGACUGGGAUAACUCCGGGAAACCGGGGCUAAUACCGGAUGCUUGAUUGAACCGCAUGGUUCCAAUCAUAAAAGGUGGCUUUCAGCUACCACUUACUGAUGGACCCGCGGCGCAUUAGCUAGUUGGUGAGGUAACGGCUCACCAAGGCGACGAUGCGUAGCCGACCUGAGAGGGUGAUCGGCCACACUGGGACUGAGACACGGCCCAGACUCCUACGGGAGGCAGCAGUAGGGAAUCUUCCGCAAUGGACGAAAGUCUGACGGAGCAACGCCGCGUGAGUGAUGAAGGUUUUCGGAUCGUAAAACUCUGUUGUUAGGGAAGAACAAGUACCGUUCGAAUAGGGCGGCACCUUGACGGUACCUAACCAGAAAGCCACGGCUAACUACGUGCCAGCAGCCGCGGUAAUACGUAGGUGGCAAGCGUUGUCCGGAAUUAUUGGGCGUAAAGCGCGCGCAGGCGGUUUCUUAAGUCUGAUGUGAAAGCCCCCGGCUCAACCGGGGAGGGUCAUUGGAAACUGGGGAACUUGAGUGCAGAAGAGGAGAGUGGAAUUCCACGUGUAGCGGUGAAAUGCGUACGAGAUGUGGAGGAACACCAGUGGCGAAGGGCGACUCUCUGGUCUGUAACUGAC